CGGAGGUGGUCUGUGGGUGGCAGAACUUGACCUUGUAUUGGCCGGCUGAGAGUUCACUGCUGGUGACCACAAGGCUCGCGAUGGAUGCGUCCAGCCCAGAGAC
rnacentral:lncRNA from 1 species